rnacentral:misc_RNA from 1 species
CGGUGUCCCUACGGAAGAAUCGCAUUGUGGAAAAACGUGGGAUUCGUAGCGUAUUGAAAAGAAAAUUUUCACCAAUAUUCUGGUAUACGAUGAAUAGAAUUAAAAUAACAAGAGUUCCCCAAGAUCUACCAGCUCGACCGAAGCGUAUCGGCUACUGGCAAAUACUCGUUGACGUAUACAAUGAAUUCGCAGCAGAGACAAGUAUCCACGGUCUAAAAUACACCACGCAAAGAAAAUUAAAGACAGACGGGUUUAUUUGGCUAACAAUCGUGAGCAUAUCCAUAGUAUGCGCCGGGCUGUUGUCCAGCCGCUUCUACGAAAGACAUCGCGCGGCUAGCAUGAGGACGACCGUUGUGAGCACUCAACAUCCUGCAUGGGACCUUCAAUUACCCGCCGUAACCUUGUGCCACGGCACAAUGGCGACGAGACAGAAGUUGGAAAGUUAUCUUAACUCGCAUGAAACAUUGAAGCCGAAAGAUGUUCCGCGGGAAGAAUUGAUAAACGCCGUGAGACAAGUGAGGAAGGCGAUCGAGCCAUCGAAUACGUUUCCCAGGGAGCUUGAAGUCAUGCAAGAGCUCCUAAACUCGAACGCUCUGCAGAUUCACGAAUUCCUCGAGAAAGUUGGCCCGAACUGUAGCGAAUACCUAAUCGUGUGCAAAAGGGCGAAUCGCGAAGUGCCCUGCAAAAGCUUAAUGUCGCCUUCGCUGACCCCUUACGGGCUAUGCUGCUCGUUUAACUACCACCACGCCUCAUCCGCCAGGAGAAGGUUCGCAGCCGAAGAGUCGAAGGAUCAGGAACAUCACUCAGUGACUUACGGGGCGCGAUUUCUUCUCUCAUUCCUGAUGAACCCGCUGCAGGAGGAUCGACUCUCGUCGGCGUUCUACGGCGACGGAAUAAAGGUCCUGAUCCACGAGCCCCUAAAUUACCCGGGUCCCGCGGCUUUGGAAUUCGUCGCGCCGUCGGGCCACGAGACGAUCGCCAGCGUGAACGGAAAUCGACUAACGAGUAGCAGCGAAGUGCUAAGUAUCGGGCAGGAUGUUAGAAGAUGCGUAAUUGUGGACGAGUCUUCGCCCCCUUAUCGCAAAAGCAACUGUUACGUGUCGUGCCGCGAGCGCAUAAUCAGGAACAUAUGUCGGUGUCAGACCUUCUACUCUUUCACUAACGAGCGGGACUUCAAGUUUUGCAAUUUUUCCCACAUGAUAUGCCUGUCGAAGAAUAUGAUCGGCUCCAGCUCUCUGAAGCCCAGCGACCCCGAGUGUCGGUGCAUACCGGAAUGCGAGGAGACGAGCUACAGCGUAGAGACGACGACGAUACCGCUCAACGCCCCGGAGUUCGCUCCUUCUCCAUUCUAGACGUAAACCGAAUCCCAAACGCAACUGCGUUGCACAUAACGCUCGCCUCGCAAGUGAUGACGCUCCAGCGCAGGGACGUAGUUCAAUCUUGGAUCAAUCUACUUUCUUCCCUGGGGGGAGUG